CCCUUCGAUGUUCUGGGCUGCACGCGCGCUACACUGAUAAAGUCAACGAGUUUACAACCUUUGCCGAAAGGCUUGGGUAAUCUUUUGAAACUUUAUCGUGAUGGGAAUAGCUGAUUGCAAUUAUUUGGCUUGAACGAGGAAUGCCUAGUAAGGGCGCUUCAUCAGAGCGUCCUGACUGCGUCCCUGCCCUUUGUACACACCGCCCGUCGCUCCUACCGAUUGAAUGGUCCGAUGAGAUCUCCGGAUUUGAGGUUGUCAUGAUUCUGGUUUUGCCGGGAUCAGCGCCUUGGAAAAGUUGAUCAAAUCUUAUCAUUUAGAGGAAGGAGAAGUCGUAACA
rnacentral:rRNA from 1 species